GGGAACGACGUUACGUUUACAAAAAGGUACUGCCGCGAUAUUUAACGUUCACAACACUGCCCUCCGUCAAAAUAGAAUUUCGUCUCGAAAUUUAAAUAACUACGAAAUAUUAAAUCAAUUUAUACAAUCAAACAAAAUCAAGUUAAACAAGCACCUGCUGCUGAAUAUUAAAAUUAAGAAAAUUUGUUUUUGUCUAAAUCACGAAUAACCUAAUAUCACGAUUCAUGACACGUGUAAUGGUAAAAUUGUACCAACG
rnacentral:lncRNA from 1 species